CAUUUCCUUCACUCAUGAUAAUAAAACCAAUAUGUGAGGCUAUUAAUUUGAUCAUCAUGAAGGAGGUAGUCUUACAUUUGUUCUUAAUCUGUUCUCAAACCAUGAGCCUCUCAUUCUAGGCCUGUCGAGGCUCUUCAAAUACAAGAAGACCUGGUGGUGCAGCAGCCAGUGGAUGUUCUGCUGGUCAGCAGUGAUGGUGAAAUAGAGGAUAAUGAAUCCGUCCAGCUCUCACUAAGUGAGUUUAGCAGGCCAGUAUCUGGACUACUGCCAGACGACCUCAGUGUGAGGACGAAGGUCUCCUCAAAGAUGGAUGGCAGGGUACAGGUCUCACUGCUGACAAUACAUACAACAUAUAAGAUGUAUGGUGAUAUCCUACAAACACUCAACGCUUGCAAUAGAAGCAGGGACAUCAAACAGUACAUGAAGAGUCCUUCCUUGUAAGGAAGGAUUCUACAUGCGAAUAGUUCUCUGCGCAACAGCUACGCUACAAAUAGCCUACGCAGAGGAGGAAAUGUGCAUGUGAUAUGGUGCUCCUCAACUCAUAACUUUUCAUCUCCUCCCUCCAAGGUGACAAGCAAUCCAUGGUAGUUCAAACAUACGCUGCAGCACUCUUGAUAACGGCUUGAGCUGAGAUGAGUGGGUGAUGAGGCUCACUUGUUUUCUCCACACCAGCCACCCCAGGAAAACUUCCAGUCUUUAUAAAAAUAAAGAAAACUACAAUCACUUUUUUUUCUGCCCUAAGGUUUUGCAAAGAAAGAAAAUGAGAGAGAGAGAGAGAGAGAGAGAGAGAGAGAGAGAGAGAGAGAGAGAGAGAGAGAGAGAGAGAGAGAGAGAGAGAGAGAAAGACGAAU